GCUUCCAAGAAAAGCUCUAAACACCAUAAACAUUCACUGCCUGUACCCGAAACCGACACAGGUAGGGAGGUUGAGAAUACCAAGGGGCGCGAGAUAACUCUCUCUAAGGAACUCGGCAAAAUGGCCCCGUAACUUCGGAAGAAGGGGUGCCCACCUCAGACGUGGGUCGCAGUGAAGAGAUCCAGGCGACUGUUUACCAAAAACACAGGUCUCCGCAAAGUCGAAUGACGACGUAUGGGGGCUGACGCCUGCCCAGUGCCGGAAGGUUAAGGAAGUCGGUCAGGGCGCAAGCCUAAAGCUGGCGACUGAAGCCCCGGUGAACGGCGGCCGUAACUAUAACGGUCCUAAGGUAGCGAAAUUCCUUGUCGGGUAAGUUCCGACCCGCACGAAAGGCGUAACGAUCUGGAUGGUGUCUCAGAGAGAGACUCGGCGAAAUAGGAAUGUCUGUGAAGAUACGGACUACCUGCACCUGGACAGAAAGACCCUAUGAAGCUUUACUGUAGCCUGGAAUUGGCUCCGGGCUUCGCUUGCGCAGAAUAGGUGGGAGGCAUUGAAGCUGCCCUUGUGGGGGCAGUGGAGCCAACAGUGAGAUACCACUCUGGCGAAGCUAGGAUUCUAACCAGUAGCCGUUAGCCGGCACUGGAACAGUUUCAGGUGGGCAGUUUGACUGGGGCGGUCGCCUCCCAAAAAGUAACG
rnacentral:rRNA from 1 species